rnacentral:lncRNA from 1 species
UGGGGGUUGGCAUGGCUUUGGCAAUUAUCAUCGUUUAGACUCAUUACUACUGGGGGAUUAAUCUACUAUAACAGUGGUACAACAUACAAAUCUUUUGGUUUAACAAUUUUUUUUAUUUUAGAUUCACCAAUCAUCGAUGUGCCACUAUUAGCAUGGCUUUUGUAUCUUGGUUGAUUCAUUUUAUUAGGCUACUAUGACAUAGCACAAUUCUUUCGAUGCUGCUCCAGCUCUAUGAUUUCAUGUAGGUAACAAGUGUUCAAAAGAAUAUUGGUACUGUGUGUCGAAGUGCAAAGAUUGGUUGUUCGUAUGUUUGUAGCUCUAUAGUGUGGAUACUAAACAUUAUUAGUGAUGAAGCAGAGGGUAUCCCCCGAAUCCCAGGGCUCAGUUCUCAUCGAGCUGAAACAGUGGAGACGGCUGCUUCUCCUCAGAGGUAUUGUCCACUUCGGGAGGGGUUUCAUAGUCUCUUUCCCCCUCAUGGUUUUAUCCCGUAAAAGACGCCUCUGA